rnacentral:lncRNA from 1 species
GUAAAUUUUGGCUCAAAAUGAUCUAGAUAUAUUUCUCUUUCGCCAAAAGUUGCAUUUCUGCAAAUUUGUUGGUUAGUUUAAGUAAACAAGGACAUCAAAAGCACUAUUUUGUGUCAGAGUAGGGCUACUUUUACAUACUUCUAAAUUGGAGGGAGUAAUUGGUGGUCUGACACCAAAAGACGUCCGGAUAUGUUUCCGUCAUUGGGCGAAAUUUAAGUCAGAUUAGACUUCCGGUUUGCGUUUUUCUAUAUACUUUGAACAUACAUUAAUACUACGAAUACAGUGUAUUUUCUGUCUUAUAUCCCUCAUUGGACGAAAUUUAAGUCAGAUAAGACCUCCAGUUUGCGUUUUUCUUUUUACUUUGAAACAAAUACAUAUACUACGAAUAAAGUGUAUUUUCUGUCUGAUAACAUUUUCAAGUUUACUAUCCACGGCAGUCACAGGGUUUAUUUAAUAGAGAGGGUCUGAAUAAUAUAUCAAUGACCGCUGUGGAUCAAUUAUUAAACUGAGAAUUGACUGUAAAAAGAAAAUACACUUUCGGGACGUCUGGAACGGGUGUUUUUAAGAUCGAAAUUUCAGGAUUGACCAUUUCGGGAUCCAGGAUUUCUUUUUUCGAAUUUCGGGAUGUCGAGAUAUAUAAUUUGUAUAAUAAAUUCAUAACCUCGGGAUUUCAUGUGUUCAAGCCCGGGAUAUUGGGAUCAGGGCCCCUACGCAGUGGCGGAUCCAGAAAUUUUCAUACGCAGAGGCCCGUUGACUGCCUAAGAGGGGCCCGCUCCGGUCAUGCUUCAGUGAUUCCCUAUAUAAGCAACCAAUUAUUUUCCAGAAAAGGGGGGGGGGGCGCCCCUAAAUCCGCCUCUGCCCCGACCCCCCUUUAAUGAAUGUUCAUAAUAUACAGAUAUGCGCUAAAAUUAUUCAUGUGUCAUUAAAAUUAAUAGAGAACAAACAAAAAAAAGGAUUUUUUUGUGGAAAAAGGAGGAGCCGGGCUAGAAAAACAAUUAUCCUGUCCCAAAUUACCUAUGACUGUUGAUACCUUUUCUGAAAUACUCAAGUCACUAAAUGUUUUACAAAAAAAAGAAGAUGUGGUAUGAAUGCCAAUGAGACAGCUCUCCACAAGAGACCAAAAUGACACCAAAAUUAACAUUUAAAGGUCACCUAACGGCCUUCAUCAAUAAGCAAAAGCCGAUACUGCAUAGUCUGAUAUAAAAGGCCCUGAAAUGACAAUGUAAAACAAUUCAAAUGAGAAAACUAACAGCCUUAUUUAUGUACAAAAAAUGAACGAAAAACAAAUAUCACUGAACCACUGAAUUACAGGCUCCUGACUGGAAUGUUCAUAAUACAUGUACACUAAAUGUAUGUUCAUAAUGAAAUUAAUAGAAAACAAAAAAUGUGAAUUUUGGAAAUAAAGGACCUAUGUAUUACAGACUAGGGGAAUAGCUCUGGUAGCAUGGAUGGAGGUGAUUACAUACGGACACAUAAAAACACAUCAGCUUCCAUUUCUACAUUUUAAUCAGACAAAGAAUGACGUCACAAACAUAAAUACAACAAGAUACUGGCAAAAGGGGAACAACUCUCUCUUUCACACAGAAACAUAAUCCGACCAUACAUACUGAUACAUAACAUCCCGCCCACAAAGCAAAAAUUUACUAAAUUUUUACAAUGGUCAAUAUGUUUAUGUGUAAAAAAAAUACAAUUAAUAAUAAUUUCCAAAAUUAAAAGUUCACAUGAAUAAAGUUAAUCUCUCAACACUCUAGUAACCAUUUUAAAACAAACGUAUCAACGCUGCAAACCCGAAAGUCUGGCAUCUCGGACUCCUCCCUCGGAUGACCUUAUGCACGCAUUACUUCCACACAACAAUUACAGUGAUACACAUAUUAAUGGCAUUUCCUACUAGACAAACAUAUAUCAUUAUAAAUAGCUGAAUACAAAUUUGAUAGUAUCAUCAGAGACCUUAAACUCUUAAAUUUAAUAAGGUUUUAUUUAUGAUAAAUAUCACACCGCUAAAUGAUAAACACAUUCACAUUAGCUUAAUUUCAAAGUAAACAAAUAACGUAGAUCAAAAUUAGCAUGAAAAGUAUCUGGUUUCAUAAAAUCAACAUGGUUAAAAAUAGAAUGUUCUCGUACAGAAUAAAUUCAUCAUCUUUUCUUUAAAAUAGGUCUUCUCGGAAAUCUGCAAAACCAUGGCGAUACAGUUAUCACCAAAACACAGUUAAUAUAAUUACGUUUUUAAAAGACGGAGUCAAAUAAAGGUUACGGCGGAAUGAACACAACAGCAAUACAGUCAACAUAUUACGCAAUACACAUCACACGUGUAGAAGGUUCAACGGAUAAAUCUGGGUCAACAGUUGUUAUGUAAAAUGUCUCUUCUGAUGAAAUCGGAACUUUAGACUAUGCAUGGCGAUACAGUUAUCACCGAUGCAAAUUGAAUAAUGUCAAAUGAAAAUAGCAUAUAUAUAAACAGGAUCCAAAUAUUACGGAAAUCGAAUAAUCAUGAUGCAAUGAGAUAAAUCUCACGUGCUUUCUGGUUAAAAACGGAAUACAUGUAGACAUUCAUAAAUAAUUCACAAAGUCAGUACGUACACGAGACGAGACAUGGUCUGUUCUUCUCUUCAAAAAUGCAAUUUAAAUGUUGGUACUAUAAUAAAAGUUCGGCUUAAUUUUUAAAAUCAAUAAAAAGUUAUCAGCAUCAUGGCGGAAUAACAGCUAGGAUCCAUCAGGAACAAUCGGUCAACUUUUUAAGUAAAAAUAUCCAAAAUCCAAUGAAAAAUUAAAAUCCAAAAUAUGUAUAAAUCAUUAUUCACGAUCGUUUCGGGUCCCCACCAUAUUACAGACUAGGGGAAUAGCUCUGGUAGCAUGGAUGGAGGUGAUUACAUACGGACACAUAAAAACACAUCAGCUUCCAUUUCUACAUUUUAAUCAGACAAAGAAUGACGUCACAAACAUAAAUACAACAAGAUACUGGCAAAAGGGGAACAACUCUCUCUUUCACACAGAAACAUAAUCCGACCAUACAUACUGAUACAUAACAUAUGACUUUUGAUACUUUUCCUGAAAUUCUCAAGUUAUUAAAUCUUUUACAAAAUUCUUCCUACAAC